UGUUACCAGAAGACUGUGAGUAGUAGGUUGGUUUACCACUUCCCAUUUGGAAAAGAAACUUGUCCAAACUUACAUAAUUCUGCAGUGUGACAGUAAAGGGUUAGUUGGGAAGGGUGAAGGCAGUGGAGAGGCAAAAUGGAAGGAAGUGAGGUAGAGACAAAGGGGGGAAGAGUGGCAAGGAGUAGGACAGCAUGGAGGAAGAGCAGGCUGAGCCACAGGGCAGCGGGUGCACAUGCAAGGAGGGUGGGACUGGGGAGGAUGUGGGACAGGAAGACAGCCCUGCAAAAAGUUGGAAAAAACACUUUUAAACCAAGUGACUCAGCUAUAAGAGAGACUUGGAGUUGACCAAAAGAACUGAAUUUAAAAUUACCACAAGGUCCCCAAUGCAUUGAUAGCCUUGGGCCAUAAAUAAGGGAAACUUGAUUUCCUGAGCAGCUGAAAACCUGCAGGUCCUUGACUGAGCAGGGUUUGCAGGCUUCCAGUCAUGUAACAAAUCAACAAACUCUCAGUUCCCAUAUGACCCAACUUCCCAUUCAUGUUACCUUCACUCCCACACUGGUAGCCACAAACAUUGAUGUUUGAAUUGUCAUCAUCUGCAGCUGUUAGAGACAUGGUUAGAUACAGUUUUUAACAUAAAGGAAUGCUUACGGUGACCACAGUUUCCCCUUGUGUGCUGUUUACGUGUCCAUUUCGCUGGCAUUGCUGCUUCAAACCCCUCUCUGCUUCUUCCCUUUCUUUACUUAUCCUUUCUCAGGCUGUACUGUUCUUUUGAGCCAUGGCCUAUGUCCAUCCCAUGGGUCCGUCCUUUCCAUGUUUAGCUGGAAUCCUGGGGUAAAGUGUGUCCGUGCAAGAAGAGGAAUCAAUCGGUUUCUUAGGUACGGUUGUCUGCUUGCACCUCCAAAUUUGGGAGUAGUGCUCUGACUCUGAGGGGAGAGGUCUGGUAUUCCUGCAUUCAGAUAAGGCCUGGUGCGUAUGUCCUAUGGCAGCCAUGGUGCCAUGUGUCAGGAUGGGUGGGUGGGCAGGCAGAUCUCAUGUUGCUUUUGCAGGUGAGCAAAACUCGGUUAUUCUGAGGUUUGCAAUCAUCACGAGCCAAGGAAAAUUGCCUACAAACAUGAAAGAAGUUUCUUCUCCAGUUCUGAGGAAGGUUGUCUUUGAGAAGUAUGAUUUCCCACAAAUUCUACCUCUUUUUACCUCACCCAUCACCCCUUUGAAAGGCCUAUUUGCAGAAUGUAGCAGAAGAGACUUGCUGAUGACUUCUGGAGCCAGUCGGUGCCUCCCUGAACACUGGCCAAAAGUGAUGCGAUGGUUCCUUUCUCAGCUCCUCCCACAGGCCAGGCAGGCUGGCUCUAGUGUCCCUUCAGCCACCCGGGGGGGCUGAACUCCGAGCCUCCACUGUUGGAUUUUGAAGACUGGUGACAUGUGGGUUCAUCCUCUCUUGUUUUCUUGUCAUGCAGAUGUUCAUUCCUCCUAAAGAAAGACUCUGUUGUGUGUGCUCUACUCCUGCACUGCCACAAAAGGUCAGACUUCUUGAGCCCAUUAUAAACUGUUUCUUGGCUACAAAAGCAGUGCAGAUUUUGGGGUACAUCUACCUUUGGGCACUUCUCACAUAGCUCUGAGCUUUCCUGCAGGUUUGCAAGUCCUUUUUAAUCCAGAAGGGUCCUACUAGUUCCAUUAAAUUCUUACUAAAGGUCAUCUCCUCUGAUGACCCCAGCAAGAGAAGCUGAACAUACUGAUCUGGAAAUUGCCCAGGUUUUUGUUAAAAUGAGCCUUUUCAUGCUCAGGGACAGACCCCAGGGUGGCAAAAGAUGUGCUUGAAUAGUCAGUUCUGGGAGUUUGAAUGUCAUUGGGAACAUUUAAGUCUUAGGAGUCUCCUUUUAGGAGGGAGUGGGGGCAAGGGCAGUCGGUAGGUGUGUUUUACUUUGCACCUUAUGCCUGGAAGUAAAGGUGACAGGCAGCAGAUGCUGGGGCUGUGGGGGAAGACGAGUAAGACGAAGCUGUAAAUCAGUAAAUCAGCCAGGAGCCUGCAAUAAGACAUGACUAUUUACCUUCCAGCCCUGCUCCCACCAAUGCGAGCCUGAGCUCCUUCUACUCCUGAGAGCCAGCCAAGGUCAGAAGCUGCAGGACCAAAAUGCCACCAUCACUCGCAUGUGCAUGUCUGUGACCUGCCACAGGCCUGCAUUUACAUGUGUCCAGUGAGCAGGGGAUGAUGUUAGAAACAUGAAUGUAGAACCUCCUGCUCACCUUCAUAAAGUCCUGAUGCCUGUUUUUUUAUAUUUAUUAUUUUAUUUAUGGUUUCUGUAUCUUUGGUGGAGGGCAAGAAGAGGAGGGCAGGGCACGGGCAGGAUGUGUUCUAACACCUGUUUCCUUUGCCCCCUUCCCAAGCCUUUUUUUCCAGCUUCUUCAGCAUAGCUUCUGCCUUGAUGGCUCCUGGUUGAUGGGCUGUUGGAGAAAUGUUGCUUUGCAGGAGCAAAAAAGCCCAAUCUUAAGAGGAUCUAUGCUCAUUUCAACUUAUCAGGAAAAGCAGGGCAGCUAUAAACCUUCAAUUUAUUUGAGAUCCAUCCUAUAACUCCCUGGGCCUGCCUUCUUACUAGAAGGAUGAGAAUUUGUCAGUUACUGGAGAAUAUAUAAUUUUUCUGCCACCUAGUGUCCAGCCUUUGGAGUGCUCAAGCUUUUGGCUGUGAGUUACAAGUUAGUUAUUGUUUUCUCUUUGAGUGCUUUUAAACACAAUUAGUGGUGUGGUCAUUUUUAGACUGAGGUAAGUCUCUGGUAGUAGUAUCUUUUACUCUCUGCAUACUCUACUAUUUGGAAAUCUGGGGAAUACCAGAAAAUAGCAUAUUUUUAUUUUAUAUCUCAUCAUAUGUGCAUAUGGUGUUUUGAAGACAGAUAAAUAAAAAAGCCAUGAGAAACUUUGACCAGGUGUGUUCUUGCAGAUUUGUGAAUUAUUUGAACUAUUGUUUUUAUUUGGACUAGUACAUUGAAGUAGUCUAAAAGGGUUUAGAGUUUGGUCCUAAAUUCCUUAAUUUAUGUUCUAACCAUGCUACCUGUGCAAGAAAAUGCAAGCCUUUUUAAACUGUUGAACUCCUGGUACAAAAUCAAAUGCUCCUGCAUGUGUGAGUGUGCCUGUGUGCUUUCCUGCCCUGACUGUUGUUGUCACAGAAACCUCUCAGGUAGAAACACGGAAGGCUCCAAACCCACCGCGUGUCUGCAGGAUAAAAGAAGUGGCUGUGCUGCGCUCUCUGAACAGAAGGGGGCUGGCCUUGGUGCUUAGGCCCUGGGACAUUGCCCAGUUAGUGCCAAAGGUGAUUUGGUCCCUCUUGUUGUCCUGGACCUUCGUCUCUCCCUUGCGCUGUGCUGCUCAGGGGAGAUGUGGCAUGCACCACAGCAGAGGGAUGAUGAAUCAUCAGGCUUUUAAAGGGGAUAAUACAGCCAUAGUCAUCACUUGGAUUGGCCCAGUGGAAAGGCAUUAAUGACAAUCACUUACAAUAUUGCAUCAAUAGACUUAGAAAUGGUGGCACUGUCACCCUGGAGAUUCUUCUUCUAAAGGUCAUUCAAGGGUAAUUUUAGAUCCUUCUCCUACAGGCUACCUUUCACAGGAUACCCACUCUGGGACUGAAAGCCAGAGAACAGCACAGAUCUGUUCUUACACCCACAGUUCCUGCCUGUCCUGUACCCAGCUCCAGGAGGGAGGGCUGGCACACUGGAAAAGAUCAGGUUGGGACUAAAAUUAGAAAAGAACACGACUCCAGACAAAUGAGUCACUAAGCCUUGAUGAGCUCUGAUCUGCAAGGAAGUACUGUAUAGAGGUCUGAGAUACUGAAUAAGCCUUAGCUCAGAAAACAACAGUCCAACAGGUAGGCUGUGAUCCUUUCCUGUCUCAGGCAGGUAUGUGGAAGCAGAAAGCUGAUGGCAAGACUUAGAGGAGACUUUGUGUCUCAAAGGACAGAGAGAGCAGCAGAAAGGAAAAGCUCAGUGUUACCAACUGGAGAGCAACUGGAGACCACAAAUCUGAAUUAUCCUGAGAAAUAGGUACAUGGAAACCCAGCGUGCACUAAGAUAUUUUUGGCAGAUGUUUCUAUACCACUAGUGCCCAUUGGAUCCUGGACUAUUUUCUGCAUUCCUGGAUUCUGACAAUUGGGUCCCAGUAACUUCGAGCACAGUAGAGGUGAAGCUGUGGGAGAGGCACGUGGCACAAAUCGGGCAAAUCAGGGGCGAGAGCACUUAUGGAGGAGCUGAGUUACCCAGAAAGGGUAACAGAUUGUUUUUCCAAGACAAGCCAAAGAGAUCGAGGGGAUCAGCACUGUAAAAGUGAGUGGGUUGUGUGUGUCUCAGCUGCAGCAUCUGGCUGGGCAGUGGUGGUCAGGAAGGGGCAGGGAAGGGCCAAAGCACAGCCACAAGGCAGGCCCAAGCCAUAACUUGUGGUGUGCUUGUGCAUGUGGUAAUGAGCUUAAGAAGCCAUCUUCAUCCUCAGUGACCACCUCACCAGAGCAACCUGCCAGUGGAUGAAUGUCCUUUGUAUGUGGCUCUAAGCCCCACUGAGCAAGGCUCAGGGGAUGGUCACUGAGACAUCUUAUUCAAGGUUGGAGGCUUGAGAGUUGAGAUAUUUGUCAAAUAAAAAUUACAGAUCAUCUUCCUGCCUUGAACACCUGAAAUGCAGGUGAACAAAUCUUAAUCAAACUGACCAAAACAUUUGCACAGAGUUGAUGGGGCAGCUAGACUGAGAACAAGGCCAUUUAUCCCUUCCUCCCAUUUGCCAUCUGGUGGUGUCUGAGAGCUCCAGAAGACAGCUCCAAAGCUGUUCCAGGCUCACAGUAAAAAAAGCUGCCCAUGAGGGAUGGAUGCCCAGCCCUGGAAUGCAGCCCUCCCUGGGCUAUGAGUCGUAAAAUAAACUCUCAGAUCACAACGGCUGGCUUUGCUACAAAAGACUACAAAGCUCACAAUGAGUAAAAGAAUAUCCUACAAAAUCCUUCUUCAGACUUCCCUGAGCCUCUUCCAUGAAACAAUUAGUGGAUGCUCUUGUUUUGAACUCUGUGACUCACUCCUGUAAUUCAGUUGUGGCCUGUGAUCGCUCAGUCACUUAAUUCGUGGUGGGGAAACAGGCAGUUGUGAGAAUUUCCUCUGUGCCCCCCUGGGCCUCUCGCUGCAGCUCUGGGCACAUUGGAGCCUGGAUGCUCGCUUCCCAGAUGUGCAGGCCCCCUCAGGAAUGCUUCCUCACAGCACCAACUGGUGAACAGGAAGGUUUCUCAAGGAGAAAACACAUCUCACUGUGUUUUGUGGUACUUAAUCCAGCUUCAAGGGUGGUCCUGUUAUCAAUAGUCUAAAUAGUGAAGUUGUGGCUUGGCUCUACCAGAGUUUUAUUUGUAGUUUGGUGUCUUCACAGCAGGUACACAUGUGUGCACAAUUGUAAAAACUCCAUUAAAGGUAAUGGACUCUAUCAAAGCAAUUACACUGGCUAAUGUCUCCCACAUUCUUUUCUAUUAACCAUACUUAACUUUGCCAUACAGCAGUACAUUUACUAUUAUGAACCAGUAAGUGAUUUUUAAUCACUGGAUUUGUAUUACAUGCAGAUUUGUGUAACUUUCCAAGUACAUUGAAAGCAUGAAAGACAUUUAACAAUUAAACCGAAAGUGUUUCCAGAGAUUUCCAGUAAACACUGAAUAUAUUUGAAGGCUUCUCUCUGCUUAUGUUACCUUGGUCGUGCUGAGAUAAUUUGGGCAGCAGAGCAAGGAAAAAGCACUGAAUAAUUUGCCACCUAUUUCACAUCCAAAAGAGAAUUGAAAACAGAAAGCUGAAAAAUUCUUCCUGCUGGUACCACAUGGCAGAAACCCUGCCCCGUGUCUGCUGAACAGUGCUGUAUGUUUGUCAGGAGGAAAAGACAAUUGCAUUCUCUGGCUGCAUUCUCUGGCUACUGACUACCAAGUGCUAAAUUUCUGCUGUUACCAGGAAUGGCAGAAGGGGCCAUCACAGAGUGACCCUGGCAGAGCAAACUGCAGUGUCCUUCAUGCAGGACUCCCUCCAGGCCCUGGAGGUGGCUGAGCCAGUCACUCUGGUGACCUCAGGCAAUUGCUGUUCCUCUGCCAAGGCACAGGGAUGAGCUUCUCCAUGGGAUACUCAGGCUUGUCACUCAUGUGCUUUUGGCUUUCCUCUGCUUGACCUCUCAGACACUUUUAGCCCCAUAGUCUCUUUGUUAUUUCCCUUUGGCAGCUGCUUUCCAUCUUACAGCUCAUGUUCAUUGCUUUCUAUUUCUUCCCCUUUUUCUCUUUUGCCUUCCCUAUUCCUCCUUAGUUUCCUUUUUGCUUUCUGCCAAACCAAAUGCACCACUCUCUCCUUUUCUGGUUAUCUUUCCCAAGGGCUGAAUCACAGCAGUUCUGUUUGAGUGGCCAUUUCUAUAGCCCAGAGUUAUCUCCUAGAGUGUGGGGUGCUAAGCUGAGGAAGGUGACCUUCCUUGGUUCCCUCUGCAGUCAGCUGGAAGACAUGGGAGCCUCCAGAAGGUGACUCAGGUUUUGAGGCUGUCUUAAGACCUUGUGAAGACUGAUGUCAUCCCAUGAGUUGCCAGUAAGACUGACAAACAUCCUAACUUACAAGCUUUGAAUUGGGGACCCAGUUUUAUUUAGUACAAAUCCAGCUUUUGCAGAGUUUAGCACAUGUCAGAUGGAUGAGAAGCAUAAAUCAGGGGAUCUUCCCUCCAACCAACAUUGUCCUCCCAGGUGCCAGAUUCCUGCCCACAGCCUGGCAGUUAGGAGAAGUGGCAUCUGCAGCACAGCAGCUGAUAGAGCUUUGCAACAACUUUCCCACACCCCAGAGUCCCAUCUCUGCUUUAGACAAAGCAUUUGGUCCAGCUUCAAAAAGCCAAGCAAGAACUUUUGCUCCAGUUCCUUUUUUGCUUUAAAAUAAGUAUCGUGCAAGAAAUAAGGAAAUAAAAGUGGAAGGGGAAACAAAACUUUCAUUCUCACACAGACAUUUAAAAGCAGGCAUCUGCACAGUUUCCAUGACUUUCAUUUCACCAGGAGAAUGUUUCCCAGGAGCUAACUUCAACAUUUUGAAUGGAGCCACAUUUAGCCUUUUCCACAGCAAAUCACACAGGAGCCAUGAACUGCAAAUGCAGCCUUAUCUCCAUCCAGACAUUUGUUCCCAAAGAGAAUUUUCCAGUUUUCUGUGAUCAGACCAAGAAAAUAUGAGUGACAUUAUAACAACCCUCCCAGAGCAUGCUCUGUUGUAUUCUGAGUUUGCUGACAAGCUGUUACAUGGUCAGGGUCAGUUUUCUCUGUAGAAGUCUGGUCCUGUGAUCUAUCAGUGAGAUUUUGUCACUGGAUUCACUAGGAUUUCCCUUCCAGUGCAAUUGCAACUUGCUGACCCCAGAAUGAAAAAAAUAGUUGAAGUGGUUUUCUCUCUCCCCUUCCCUGUGCAUCUCUGCCCCCCUUCCCUUAUAAACACUUGUGGGCACAGGAGGGAUGACUGCUCCUUCAUUAAUGUCCCUUGUCCCAGGGCAGGCUCAGCAGGACACUCUUUCCCUCACUUUAUCCUUCUCUGCAGAUCACUGGGGCAGGGAAAAUUGGGUCCACACCCACCUGUUCUUUGGCCCAGAUAGCUGUUUGGAGCAUGCUUUGUUUAUUUUUACUACUGACAUAAUAAAAUGAGGUGAUAGACAAUCCCUUGGCCUUGUGUCUGACCAAGGCGGCUGCUACAGCUCACUCCCUGCCCCCUGAGUGUGCAGCUGACCUGGUGCCUUUGAUAAUCAAAUUUUCAUUAGUCUGCUAAGCAAAAUGCUGGCAUUGAGCCACAGGCAAGUUAUAAAGCUGGCCGAAUGAUUGGAAUAAUAAUUCGCUCAUAUUGAAUGUGGUCCAUUUAAAGGUGGUGCUUAUUUCCUGAAUGGAAAUUAAUAUCUUCUAAGGAUUUGGUUUAGAUUACUUCACUGCAUGGUUUACUUCAGCCUUAUAAUUUUGCCACUGAUACGUAAAGUGGGUUCAUAAAUAGAGUAGCAGAGGCUUGGCUGUGCUCAGAGAUAGUGCUGUGCACUAAUGUAAAUUAUAAAUGUAGAGCUAGAAAAUGUAACAAGCCCAGCUGGCAAACUUCCCUGUAUUAUCUCACAAUAAUUGUUUCCAGCCAGUAGUGAUUUUUUCUAUAGCAGAAGACAGGUUAUUUAUAUUAUUUAGGCUAAAUAUGCCUAAAACUGUAAUAACAUCCUCUGGCAAAAGUGUUAUCUGAUGGUGUCUGAAAUGGAAUCAGCUUUCCUCUUUUCAGGCAUUAAUAAUUGAAACAUUUGUGUCACCUCAUGGCAUUUCCUGAACUGGAGAAAAAAAUGGGAAUGACUUUUUAAUUUGUAUAGUUUACUUCUUAAAAAGUAGACAACCAGAAUUUCCUAGAAUUGUUACAUGUGGUUUGUAUCACCAACCAGAGAAAUAUUUCUUUUUACAAUUCUGAUCAGGCAGAGACAGCAGUACCACCAGCAGGACUGGCUCCUGGCUUAGCAGUCAGGAAAAUACCUGUGAACAGGCAAGGCAGGUGAAGGUCACGGAAGAGAGUAGGAUUUUUCCCAUUUCCUCAGAAAUGCCUGGAUGCCUGCUGCAUUGCCCAUCUGCACAUUCUCAGGUAAACCCUACAGAAGUGUGGAUGUGGGCUUUCAAUCCCCAGAUGGCAAUCCUGCUUUAGUACCCCUUGAAUUUCUGGCAUGCAAGGGAACAUGUUUUACAUAUUAGAACUUUCAAUGCCGUGAAUUUCUGUUUAAUACAUUAUUUAAGUGAUUCUUCACUUACAAGGCAUGUUGGUAUAAAAAUGGGAGAAAAUGGCCUUCCCCUCAAUGGGACCCACUCAAUCCACACUUGAGAAUGGAUGUAUACAAUGGCCAUUCUAAGAUGACAUGUUAAAGAAAUAAGGUUUAUUUAAAUGAAUGCUACAGCCAAAUAAUGACAACUUCAAAUCCAAAUACACAUGUGCUGUGAAAAAACUCCCACUAUAAUUAUGACAGCUCAAUAGAAAGUAAUUCCAUAUCCAGAUGUAAAAAAAAUUAACGCAGGAAUGUUUUUUUACUUAGUGGCUGCAGUGUGGUGUUUCAGUCCCAGUUUGUGACAAGCAGUAGAUAGUGAACAGUGUGAGAAAUAAAUUUGAGGAAAUUUGUGGUGAUUAGUUCAGUAAAAAGGACAGUUGAUGAGAAAAAUAUGUUUAUUCUGCUUUUUAAAUCACCCAUGUUCCUGCUUUUGUUUCUCAUAGUUUUGUUCUUAGUUGAUCUUCUGACAUACAAUUAUGGCUGGUUCACACUACUGUGAGUAAAAUCCAUUUUUAAAGCCUGAAGAACAGCAGCAUGAAUCCUCAUCUUCUUUGCUAGUGAUCAGAUAUCUCUAGGGAAACUUAGUUCUUUUCUUCAACUAAUUUAAAUGUAUGGGAAGUCAUUCAGCCAAAAUAAAUAUCGAAAGGCUUAACUCUUCUGAAUUGUAUACCACUGGAUUAGGAUUUCAAAAAUUUUGAGUUAUCCAUAAUAUGUGAUUAUUAAUCCCAUAAAUAUUUUUAAUUGAGUGAUAAUGAGCUAUCAGCUUUGCUCUUGUUUUGAAGCCUACCCUGACACCAGUUGAGUCACUGUCUUUGGAACAAGAUCAGAAAAUGAUGCCAGGAAAGGCAAAGAGCUGCUCUGUUACAGUUGUAUAUGAAUAAUGAAACAGGUUAUUCUAAAAAGUGAAAUGCAUUCACCUGUAACAAGAAUCACAAUAAAACCUCAUCUUUUUCUUUCAGAUUUAUAUGAGUUUGUUUUAAAAAGCUGAUUAAUUUUUUUUAACAAAAUCCUGGCUUAGCUGAAGUUUCUAGGAGUUCUGUGGUUUAAUAAUAACUGAGUCUGGGACUUCUGCCUUUCACAUUAGGCACCUUGAUUUAUUUUUUCUAUCUAUUAGGAAGAUUACCUUUAUGCUAAUCCCAUCAUAAAGCCUAUUCCAGAGAUAUUUUAAGUACCCAUAGAAUUAACUAAAGCACAAAUUUAGAACAUCUCAUUUUGGAUAGAGUAUGAUGGUACAUCUAAACAAAGCACUGAUUAAAGCCAUGCAAAAGAAUUUUUGCUUCAGUUCUGUGGAAGACCUAAAAAUACAUAUAUUUAAAAGUUCUUUGCAUAUUUACCCCAAAUACCCUGGCUUUUACUGGUUUUUGAUGGAAAACAAUCAUUUGGUGAUGAACUUCAUAAUUGAAAGUGAAAUGAGUUCUUCUGGUUUUGGACAAUUGGGUGCUUCAUCUCACUGCGCUCUGCCAGCCCGUGCUGCUGUUCCACACCAGCCACUCCUUCCCACCCUCCCGCCUCACUGCAGCUGUCCCAGUCCAUGCUGCAGCCCUCCUUCAAAAGGUGCCUUGCAACGGUUCUUAAAGGGAAGGAGAGAGGAUGGGAAGAAUAGCUGAAAAAAAAAUCCAUAUUAGAACAUGAGCGUGAUGUAUUUUCGUGAUGUAUUUUGCUCUUCUGGUCUUAGAUAGAUGCCACAGUGCCAUAUGUGAGCCUAGCAUAAAAAGAUCAAGAUGUCUUGAUGCUAAAGAGAUAAAAAUAAAUAAGUAUGACAUGU